rnacentral:rRNA from 1 species
UACGGGGGGGGCAAGCGUUGUUCGGAAUUACUGGGCGUAAAGGGCUCGUAGGCGGCCAACUAAGUCGGAUGUGAAAUCCCCAGGCUCAACUUGGGAACUGCAUCCGAUACUGGAUGGCUUGAAUUCGGGAGAGGGAUGCAGAAUUCCAGGUGUAGCGGUGAAAUGCGUAGAUAUUGGGAAGAACACCGGUGGCGAAGGCGGCUCACUGGCCCGUUUCUGACGCUGUAGCGCGAAAGCGUGGGGAUCAAACAGG